rnacentral:rRNA from 1 species
GACGAACGCUGGCGGCGUGCUUAACACAUGCAAGUCGAGCGAUGAAGCUUCCUUCGGGAAGUGGAUUAGCGGCGGACGGGUGAGUAACACGUGGGUAACCUGCCUCAAAGUGGGGAGUAGCCUUCCGAAAGGGAGAUUAAUACCGCAUAAUAUGAGAGAAUCGCAUGAUUUUCUUAUCAAAGAUUUAUUGCUUUGAGAUGGACCCGCGGCGCAUUAGCUAGUUGGUAAGGUAACGGCUUACCAAGGCAACGAUGCGUAGCCGACCUGAGAGGGUGAUCGGCCACAUUGGAACUGAGACACGGUCCAGACUCCUACGGGAGGCAGCAGUGGGGAAUAUUGCGCAAUGGGGGAAACCCUGACGCAGCAACGCCGCGUGGGUGAUGAAGGUCUUCGGAUUGUAAAGCCCUGUUUUCUGGGACGAUAAUGACGGUACCAGAGGAGGAAGCCACGGCUAACUACGUGCCAGCCGCCGCCGUAA